rnacentral:rRNA from 1 species
AGAUUGAACGCUGGCGGCAGGCCUAACACAUGCAAGUCGAGCGGUAGAGAGGUGCUUGCAUCUCUUGAGAGCGGCGGACGGGUGAGUAAUGCCUAGGAAUCUGCCUAGUGGUGGGGGAUAACGUUCGGAAACGGACGCUAAUACCGCAUACGUCCUACGGGAGAAAGCGGGGGACCUUCGGGCCUCGCGCCAUUAGAUGAGCCUAGGUCGGAUUAGCUAGUUGGUGAGGUAAUGGCUCACCAAGGCGACGAUCCGUAACUGGUCUGAGAGGAUGAUCAGUCACGCUGGAACUGAGACACGGUCCAGACUCCGUACGGGAGGCAGCAGUGGGGAAUAGUUGGACAAGUGGGACAAAGCCUGAU